CUCAGCUUGCGCUUUAUCAUGAUGUCCGGAGAGGAAGGCUGGAUCUGCUGGCGGUUCUGAGCGUCAGUUUCGGAUGCUGUCCUCACUCUGGGCAGAAACCGCUCUCUGAAUCACACUUCCGCAGCACAGAGGAAAAUGGAUCUUCAAAGCAGCGUCAUUCUGUCCACACUGUCAACAAAACAACAGAAAAUAUGAAUAAAAAGCACUCUGGGAGCA